GCCCUCCUCCGACGACAUCAGCCCUCCUCCGGCGAGACUCGUUGCCGCCGUUCCCCAAAUCCGCUCACGAGAUCUCGAGCCUUCGCCUGCAACAGAGCCGCCGCUUCCCCAAAUCCGCUCACGAGUUCUCGAGCCCUCCUCCAACGACAUCAGCUCACGAAUCUCGAGCCUUCGAAGGAGGAGGUCAUGGGGAUCUUCGCCGUCAUCGCCAGCGCCACCUCGAGAUCCGUCGCUGAGCCUGAUUCAGUGGAGACCUUGUCAACUGUUAUAAUGGAAGAGCUUCGGAGAUUGGCUUACCAAGUGUCGGAAGAGGAAGUACUGCGAGCACGGAACCAGCUAUCUUGAAAAAUCCGAGUGAAUAGCAUCAAUGGUGGGUGGUUGGAACACAGGUUGAGCAUUCUCUUUUAUGCAGCUAUCUUGUAAUGUGAUUUGAGCUUAUAUUCAACUACUUUGGUUGUAACUUUGGAGGUUAAGUCUGUCUUUGAUAAAACUCUGUUUGAUGUUGUAACUCAUGAUGUAACUCUGUUUGAUGCUUGUAGCUUUGUUGUGGCUUAUAUUCAGCUACUUUGGUUGUAGUUCAGUUCUCUUUUAUGCAGCUAUAUUGUAAUGUGAUUUGAACUUAUAUGCAGCCAUCUUGUAAUGAUUAUUCAGCUACUUUGGUGUGAUU